CCGGGUGUAGCUUAAUUAAGAAGUUCGCGCAAAGCGCCGGAAAUAUUUCGGAAAAUGCGGGUUCAAAUCCUGCCGCCCGGA
rnacentral:tRNA from 1 species